rnacentral:rRNA from 1 species
GGGGUACUCGAGCGGCGAACGGGUGAGUAACACGUGAGUAACCUGCCCCUAGCUCUGGGAUAGCUCCGGGAAACCGGGAUUAAUACCAGAUACGACCACUUUAGACAUCUGUCGUGGUGGAAAGGAUUCCGGCUAGGGAUGGGCUCGCGGCCUAUCAGCUUGUUGGUGGGGUAACGGCCUACCAAGGCGACGACGGGUAGCCGGCCUGAGAGGGCGACCGGCCACACUGGGACUGAGACACGGCCCAGACUCCUACGGGAGGCAGCAGUGGGGAAUAUUGCGCAAUGGGCGAAAGCCUGACGCAGCGACGCCGCGUGGGGGAUGAAGGCCUUCGGGUUGUAAACCCCUUUCAGCAGGGACGAAGCGAGAGUGACGGUACCUGCAGAAGAAGCGCCGGCUAACUACGUGCCAGCAGCCGCGGUAAC